rnacentral:rRNA from 1 species
AUCAACGCUGGCGGCGUGCCUCAGACAUGCAAGUCGAACGAUUAAAGCUCUCUUCGGAGAGUGUAUAGAGUGGCGCACGGGUGAGUAACACGUAAGUAAUCUACCUUUGAGUGGGGAAUAACAGUCGGAAACGACUGCUAAUACCGCAUAAUGCAGCGGCACCGCAAGGUGACAGUUGUUAAAGGAGCAAUUCGCUUAAAGAGGAGCUUGCGGCAGAUUAGCUAGUUGGUAAGGUAAUGGCUUACCAAGGCUACGAUCUGUAUCCGGUCUAAGAGGACGGUCGGACACACUGACACUGAAUAACGGGUCAGACUCCUACGGGAGGCAGCAGUCGGGAAUUUUGGGCAAUGGGCGAAAGCCUGACCCAGCAACGCCGCGUGAAGGAUGAAGUAUUUCGGUAUGUAAACUUCGAAAGAAUAGGAAGAAUAAAUGACGGUACUAUUUAUAAGGUCCGGCUAACUACGU